rnacentral:lncRNA from 12 species
CACUGUGCCUGCUAGUCCUUCUCCUGCCUCAUCUUCGCACUACGGCCCCCAGAAGUAGAAAGCAAUCUCACCCCUCAUCUCUGAUGGGUAAACUGAGGCUGAAAGAAGAGAAGCCAAUAGACAGUAGAAUCUGAAUUCCGGUUCAGACCAGCGUGACUCCAGCAUCUGUGCCCUUGGCAAGUACGCUAUGCAGUGCAGAUGCUCACCUCGUGUCCUCUUGGAUGCUUCCAGUGACGCGAUGCUCACUAGCCCCUAAUCUCCGACUGUUCACCUGGAGCCAUGCAGGACGGUCUGGGAAUCCGAGAAUGGCACGUGUGACCGAGGCAGGGCCCGGUUAAUGCUCUGCAGCCGAGCAGGGAGAUGGGGCUGGUGCCACGUGGAAGACUGACCCGUGGAGAUGGCACCUCACUGAACGCAGUGAGGCUUGAAGCGGGUGUGCUGUGAGCGGCCCGGCCUCGCCCUCCUGAGGGGGGCACCUCGAGGGCCACCCCGCACCCACUGGGCAACCUGGCACUCCCCCUCUCUGCGUGCCGUGGCCUUCUGUGGGGGCCACGAGCUACACGCUGAGGCUUUGCUUCCUGCUCCGGGAGCCUCGCUGCUCCCACAUGCUGUUUGCAAUGUUUUACAUCUACCUCGGCAAACCUGCCAGGCGUUCUGGCUGGAUGAUGCUGUUCACAUUCUGAAUGCUCGUGUUUACCCACCUCUCUGCUGAACAAAUUUACAAGGCAGCUGUGGGCAAACAAGUCAGUCUUCAUUAAGACAAGGCGCACCUGUUACCUGAGCGAACUCUGCCCUCGUCCCUGGUGGCAAUUAGUCCGGCUCUGGCUGGUUUGCUUCCCCCCUCUCUCCACGAGACGUUCUCAGUGUACAGGCGAUCAGAAUCUCCUACCCAGGGGUCCCGCUGGCCGUUAUUAUAUGGCUGCCCUGCCAUCCCUGCCUCUAAAGCACCCCUUGGAGAGGAAUUUUAAUGUGUGUGGAAGACAGCAGCAGACGUGCGGAGGGGGGCACGGGGAGCCACGGCCUCAGGUACAGGAUGUUACCUUUGAUCAUUUCAUCCUCCUGGUACCCCAAAGAAGUGGGUACAUGCUCCCCCUUUACAGAUGUGGUAACUAAGACCCAGAGACAGAUGGAGCAGCCGUGAGCAGCGGAGCCUCUCUGCCCGGACCGCAGGCUACUGCAGGAAGCCCAGCUGAGCACCACCCCUCCCUCGGACCUCACUCCUCCACCCUCCACCCUCCUCAUCUGGGUGCCCCCGAGCUCUGCCCAAACUUGUGCCCAGACCCAAGACCCUUGACUUCUCCUGACUCCACACAGCAGCCUCAUGGGCCUGACGCCCUAGGAAGGAAGCCAGGAGGUGGUGCCUGUCUUGGCCUGGCCCGUGGCUGCGAAUGAGUGCCUGGGUAGCCCAAAGGGUGCCCUCCCCUCUCCCAGAACAUCUGUCAGCCCGAGCAUCCUCCCCCACUGCGUAGAUGGUCAGUAUUCAAGGUCAGAGGUAGAGCUAGGGCUUCUGUGGUACAGAGGAGAGGGACCCACUCCUCCGCUGUACCUUCUUAAACUCAGGGGCGUCCUAGUCUCCUCACCCUGCAGAAAGCCCUACUCUGGCCCACCAGCUCCUCCUGCAGCUCCAUUUGCCCCUGGAUGAGGCCGGGCCCUGAUUCCAUUCCCUAAAGCCUCUGAGGCUGGGCCUGCCCCUCCAUGCACAGUUCACACCAAGUGCCUACCCAGGUCUGGUCUAUCUCCCUCCCUUCCAGAACUCAUCCCCAGUUGAUGGUUGCCCUCUCUGUCCUGACUUCCUCUUCUUGCUAGUUGUGCUUCUAGAAUCGACCUCCUCUGCUCCCGCUUUGACAAAAGCGCAAAGACAAUUUAAGGAAGAAUAGACGGUCUUUUCAACAAAUUAUUUUGAAACAAUGGAACAUUCACAUGCAAGAAAGUGAAGUUCCACCUACAUUACACAGCUCAUACAAAAAAAUAACUUAAAGUGGGUCACAUAUCUAAGUGUAAAACAUGCAAUAAUGAAACUUUUAGAAGAAAGCAUUGGAAAAAGUCCUCAUAAUCACGAUUACACAGAGUUCUUAGACAUAAUACCCAAAGCGUGGUCCACCAAAAGCAUGAUGAACUAGUAUACAUCAAAAUUAAAAGCAUUCAUGCUUUAAAAGACAGCAUUAAGAAAGUGAAAAAAGCCUCACACAAUAAAAGAAAAUAUACGCUAAUAAUAUAUGAGACU